UUCAAUAAGCAGCACUUGAUAAUUUUAUAAUUAUCAACAUCAAUAUUAUGUGUCAUUAUAUAUUUGUAUAAAAUAAAUUUCUUCAGAAAAUGGUCUGCAAAAAAAGAGAAAAAAACUUAUUACUAGUGGAUCAUAGUGUAAUUGCUAAUUUUAAUCCGCCAUCCAUCUUGGAGGUUAAGAAGGGUGAUCUUAGAGGCAGUUGCUGAAACAUUAAGGAAAACUAUUCUAUGGUCUCAAAACUUGACUAUGAAGCUAUAAAUAGUAUGAAGGUACGAUUAUGUCUUUACAAUAGAAUGCAGUUUCCUGAUGAACACUCUGUCACCGAUCUUAGAAAACUGAAUGAACUGUUUCAGGGAUAUAUGUUUAAUGGGAAAGAGUAUGAGCAUAAGAAAUCUAGCCGGUAAUCACUGGCAACAGUAAGAAUAUUGUUUCCCCUGUAAAACUUGUCCCAGCUUCAAAACAAUGAGUGACAAAAUUUUUAUCGUCGUCGUCAUCAUCAUCAUCAUCAUCAUCAUCAUCAUCAGCAGCAGCAGCAGCAGCAGCAGCACCAUGUCAUAGUAUUUAUAUAGCUAUUUCUCCACAAGGAAAGAAGAUUAAUGCUAUUUACAAGAUGUAAAGGGCAGCAUGAAGUAAUUCGCUUUGGCACAGAAGGCAAUCACAAUCCAAUUAUCAUAAAAAUAUACAUGCUUAGUGAACGUUGGUAGAAAGAACACAGAUAGGAGAAGGCGGAGAAAGUAAAGCAUUAUUAUAACCAAAAUAUUUUUAAAUUAGGAAUCUUCCAAAGAGACACACAGGCAGUGUAAUCCAGAUACUGGGGACAGCGAAAGAGAAGGAGCGACAGGCGAACCUGUUUAGUCAGAUUGUGGGGACAGUGUUUAGGGCAGAGUGACCUCACUUGCCGGGUUUGUGGGGCGACACAGGCUCUGACUGUAGUAAGGACAUAAGCAAAACGAUAACAAAGUACGAGGAUCUUAAACACGAUGCGAACACGAACUGGCAGUGAUGUGUUGUAACAUGAUCAGCCUCCUGUUCGUGAAAUACAAUGCGUGCAACAAUGCUCUCAGUGUUCUUUAGAACUGUUCGAGCGGGAGAUCACCAACCAGAGAGUUACAAUAGAUAAGCCUAGACAUUUGUAACACAGAAAAGACAGUCCUUACCAUAGUCAGAGCAACUGUAAGGAAGAAACACCUAUAAGGUUUUCAUUGCUGACGACCUCCACUGGGAUUCCUGACUGUACCAAGGUCCUGAUUAGAGGAGUGGACUCCGUGACUUCAUCUUCAAACAACACUAGCAGGUCUCUGGACUGAAGAGGUGAAGGCUGUCCGCCUGGUGUAAUUGAGUUCAAACAAACACAGUUUAAGAUGACCACCGUAUCCUCAGAUGAACUGGCUGACCCUUGUGCUGUGGCUGCUUUCUGCAACAGUCUUUUCAAUUGUACACUAGCAGCAGACUGCUCUUUUGAUGUGUUAAUAAUGUGUACC